GGAGCAUAGCUGAGUGGCACAGCAUGUGUUUUGCCCACAGAAUGUCCUGGGUUCAAUUCUCACCAUCUCCA